UGGGGAAUAUUGCACAAUGGGCGAAAGCCUGAUGCAGCGACGCCGCGUGAGGGAUGACGGCCUUCGGGUUGUAAACCUCUUUCAGCAGGGACGAAGCUUUUGUGACGGUACCUGCAGAAGAAGCACCGGCUAACUACGUGCCAGCAGCCGCGGUAAUACGUAGGGUGCGAGCGUUGUCCGGAAUUAUUGGGCGUAAAGAGCUUGUAGGCGGUUUGUCGCGUCUGCUGUGAAAACUCGGGGCUUAACUCCGAGCCUGCAGUGGGUACGGGCAGACUAGAGUAUGGUAGGGGAGACUGGAAUUCCUGGUGUAGCGGUGGAAUGCGCAGAUAUCAGGAGGAACACCGAUGGCGAAGGCAGGUCUCUGGGCCAUAACUGACGCUGAGAAGCGAAAGCAUGGGUAGCGAACA
rnacentral:rRNA from 1 species